rnacentral:lncRNA from 1 species
GUCGCUGGCGACCGCGUGGACUCCUCUUCGUCAGCCCCCAUCGUCGUCGCACCUGUCAAGACUGCAUUUUUACUUUCCAGAGGUGGAUCCGAAGCGCGCCGGCUCGAUCUGCAACGCCAGUAGUUGCAGUACGCCGCUCCCCCCUCUCGAUCUGCCCCGUCUCCGGCUGCUUCAGCAGGCCAAGAAACCAAAACGCCCCCCGUGCCCGGCGACCUCGGUAUCUCCAUCGACUGUCUCAGCAAGCGCUACCUCGUCCGGCUCCCGCAUAGCUCAUGGUAAGACCCUCAUUUGCUCUCUUGGCCUGCUUGCUUGCUUGCUUGCGAGCCCUCCUCUGAAUUUACUGAACUUUUUUGACAGGUAAUGUUUAAUCCAUCAAUGUGAAUCAAUGUGAGAGGCUCGUGACAGUAAUCCUUUUUUGACAGGCUCGUGACAGUAAUCCAUCAAUGUGAAUCAAGUUGUGACAGGUAUCUCUGCAUGCUUAAUUCACUCAACUUUUUUGCAGUAGAUGCACUGAAUUUAACAGAAAGAGUACGCAAGGAGUACAUGGAGUUGAUACACUGAAUUUUGUUUGAAAUAGAUGUCUUCUCGUCAAAGUCGGAUCAUUGGGAGGAGAGGCCUUUUGUUAGAGAAGGUAAC